rnacentral:rRNA from 1 species
UGGCGGCGUGCCUAACACAUGCAAGUCGAGCGAGGAGAUCCUCGGGAUGAUCCUAGCGGCGGACGGGUGAGUAACACGUGGGCAACCUGCCUCAUAGAGAGGAAUAGCCUUCCGAAAGGGAGAUUAAUACCUCAUAACAUUGCAGUUUCGCAUGGAACAGCAGUUAAAGGAGUAAUCCGCUAUGAGAUGGGCCCGCGGCGCAUUAGCUAGUUGGUGAGGUAACGGCUCACCAAGGCGACGAUGCGUAGCCGACCUGAGAGGGUGAUCGGCCACAUUGGGACUGAGACACGGCCCAGACUCCUACGGGAGGCAGCAGUGGGGAAUAUUGCACAAUGGGGGAAACCCUGAUGCAGCCAACGCCGCGUGAGUGAUGACGGCCUUCGGGUUGUAAAGCUCUGUCUUCAGGGACGAUAAUGACGGUACCUGAGGAGGAAGCCACGGCUAACUACGUGCCAGCAGCAGC